ACGGGAGGCAGCAGUGGGGAAUAUUGCACAAUGGGGGAAACCCUGAUGCAGCGACGCCGCGUGAGUGAAGAAGUAUUUCGGUAUGUAAAGCUCUAUCAGCAGGGAAGAAAAUGACGGUACCUGACUAAGAAGCUCCGGCUAAAUACGUGCCAGCAGCCGCGGUAAUACGUAUGGAGCAAGCGUUAUCCGGAUUUACUGGGUGUAAAGGGAGCGUAGACGGGACAGCAAGCCUGAUGUGAAAGGCGGGGGCUUAACCCCUGGACUGCAUUGGAAACUGUUGACCUUGAGUGCCGGAGAGGUAAGCGGAAUUCCUAGUGUAGCGGUGAAAUGCGUAGAUAUUAGGAGGAACACCAGUGGCGAAGGCGGCUUACUGGACUGUAACUGACGUUGAGGCUCGAAAGCGUGGGGAGCAAACAGGAUUAGAUACCCUGGUA
rnacentral:rRNA from 1 species